rnacentral:rRNA from 1 species
UGGCUCAGGAUGAACGCUAGCGGCAGGCCUAACACAUGCAAGUCGAGGGGUAAGGUUCAGCUUGCUGAACACACGACCGGCGCACGGGUGAGUAUCGCGUUUGCAAUCUACCUCUAACUGGAGGAUAGCCCGAAGAAAUUCGGAUUAAUACUCCAUAAAGUCAUAAUUUCGCAUGUUAUUAUGAUUAAAGCUCCGGCGGUUAGAGAUGAGCAUGCGUGUCAUUAGCUUGUUGGUGAGGUAACAGCUCACCAAGGCAACGAUGACUAGGGGUUCUGAGAGGAUGAUCCCCCACACUGGUACUGAGACACGGACCAGACUCCUACGGGAGGCAGCAGUGAGGAAUAUUGGGCAAUGGGCGAAAGCCUGACCCAGCCAUGCCGCGUGCAGGAUGACUGCCCUAUGGGUUGUAAACUGCUUUUAUACGGGAAGAAUGGUUCCUACGUGUAGGGAUUUGACGGUACCGUAAGAAUAAGCAUCGGCUAACUCCGUGCCAGCAGCCGCGGUAAUACGGAGGAUGCAAGCGUUAUCCGGAUUCAUUGGGUUUAAAGGGUGCGCAGGCGGAAUAUUAAGUCAGUGGUGAAAUCCUGCAGCUUAACUGUAGAACUGCCAUUGAUACUGAUAUUCUUGAAUGUAGUUGAGGUGGGCGGAAUGUGUAAUGUAGCGGUGAAAUGCUUAGAUAUUACACAGAACACCGAUUGCGAAGGCAGCUCACUAAACUAACAUUGACGCUGAGGCACGAAAGCGUGGGGAGCGAACAGGAUUAGAUACCCUGGUAGUCCACGCUGUAAACUAUGAUCACUCGCUGUUGGCAAAUACAUCGUCAGCGGCUGAGCGAAAGCAUUAAGUGAUCCACCUGGGGAUUACGAUCGCAAGAUUGAAACUCAAAGGAAUUGACGGGGGCCCGCACAAGCGGAGGAACAUUUAGUUUAAUUCGAUGAUAC